UGGGCGUAAGGAAUGGAGGGCUGGUACUUUCUUCUCCAUGACCCCCUUGCUCAGAACGACCUAUUUUCAGCAUUUUGUGCAGACUGGCUUCCAUCCAUGCACCUUAGGCAUUGUUCUCUGAUGCUAUCUGAGGCACUUGUCUGUCCUUUAAAAUAGUCUCUGCAUUUUUCAGAUGACUGCUACCCCUGGUUUGGAGUUUGCUGUGAUAGAACUAAAGUAAAAUUUCUUAGUGACUCCACUGUUGCCGUGCCAUCAAGCAUCUGGGACUGGAAAAGCCGGGUUGCUCGGGUGGUUUGGAUUCAGUGCCGCUGAUCUUUUGUUUCCAUGAGAACACAGAAUGUGGCCAACCAGCAAUCUGGUCUGACCUUGAUGCCUAAAUUCUAAUGAAAGAGCAAGUUGAACUAUAAUGGUGAGAAUGGAAACUAAGAACAUUCUAUCCAAAAUGUUUGAGAAAGCCUUGUGACCAAAGGUGAGUGACUCAGAGUUUCUCUAAGACCCUGAAAUGGGUGAUAACGUCAUGUCUAACCUUGGGAAUUGGCUGAGUAAAUCUCAGUACAGCUGCUCUAUGGAAGGUGUGCAAACCUUGUAAGUGGUGGUUAUAAAGAUAUGGAGCAAGUUGGAGAAAUUAUUUAUAAUAAAUUAUCUGGGGAAAAAAGUCAGGACUCAAUAUGGUGCAGGUGCGGUUGUUUCAUUAAGG
rnacentral:lncRNA from 1 species